UAAGGUGGCUAUGGCAUUGGGGAUCCACCUCUAACCAUUCCGAACAGAGCAGUUAAGCCCAAUCACGCCGAUGGUACUGCGUAACAGUGGGAGAGUAGCUAGCCGCCGUUU
rnacentral:rRNA from 1 species